AACGAACGCUGGCGGCAGGCUUAACACAUGCAAGUCGAACGAGACCUUCGGGUCUAGUGGCGCACGGGUGCGUAACGCGUGGGAACCUGCCUUUAGGUUCGGAAUAACUCAGAGAAAUUUGAGCUAAUACCGGAUGAUGUCUUCGGACCAAAGAUUUAUCGCCUUUAGAUGGGCCCGCGUUGGAUUAGCUAGUUGGUGGGGUAAAGGCCUACCAAGGCGACGAUCCAUAGCUGGUCUGAGAGGAUGAUCAGCCACACUGGGACUGAGACACGGCCCAGACUCCUACGGGAGGCAGCAGUGGGGAAUAUUGGACAAUGGGCGAAAGCCUGAUCCAGCAAUGCCGCGUGAGUGAUGAAGGCCUUAGGGUUGUAAAGCUCUUUUACCCGAGAUGAUAAUGACAGUAUCGGGAGAAUAAGCUCCGGCUAACUCCGUGCCAGCAGCCGCCGCGGUAA
rnacentral:rRNA from 1 species